ACAAAAUGCAUGAGAAUAUAUGGAAUGAUAAAGUGCAAAAUCCAUUAUUGUGGAAGGAGUCUAUGAAUAUGAUGCUACUUUGUUUCCAGAAAAUCAGAUUCCAAAGUGGUUCAGUCAUGUUCAUGAGUUUUUAAAAGAUAAUGAUGAUGGCAGACUGAGG